GUCGCUCUGAGAGGUCGCUCCAGGAUGCUCGAACAGGGUGGAUAUGCCUUUAGUAAAUUGGUCAUAACUCCUUCAUUACAUCUUCAAAUGACUUGAAACCACUUCCAUUAGAAAGCUAACUCAAUUUUCUGUGUCUCCACAAAAUCUUAGAAACAGAAGAUUUAUCUAAAGGCUCCAUCCAUGCUCAUCUUUCACCCCUUUUUGGAUCAUAAUGCUCCCAAACAUCUCAAAUCACUCCAUGGUACACUCCAGCACCUAAUAAGGACAAUGAAUGCAAAAUGCAGCCUAGACAUGGCUAAAUCAUAAUCUAUAUGAUGAAAAUUCUCAUGGAUGAAUGGAUAAAAUAAUGCAAAUAUGCAAGAUAUCAGGGAUCGUGUCAGAAGACAGAUAAAACCAUCAUAAAAUAUGAAGAUGCAGACUUGGUGGCAUAUGUCCUAGCAAGUUCUGAAGCUAUUAAACAUGAAGAACCAAGGUCCUUUGUAAAGUUAAACGCAGCAAGGAUUAGGAUAUUUGGAAUGGUUCAGUGGGAGAAGAGAUGGUUUCUCUUGAAGCAAAUCACACGUGGGACUUGACUGACCAACCGAAGAAUCAGAAAGUUAUCGGAUGCAAACGAAUAUAUAGGUUGAAGCCAUGAAUUCCUGGAGUUGAGGAACCAAGGUAUAAAUCACGUCUACUGGGAAAGCGGUUCUCUCAUAUAGAAGACAUCAAUUACAACGAGGUCUUCGCGAAUGUAGUGAAACACGACUCCACAAGGAUUCUUCUAUCAGCAGUGGUUAACUUUGAUAUGGAUUUGGAGGAAAUGGAUGUAAAAACUGCAUUUUACAUGGAGUGCUACAUGAAAGGAUAUAUAUGGAUCAGACGGAAGGUUUUGUUCAGAAUGGUCAAGAAGAUAAAGUAUGUCUACUAAGAAAAUCUCUUUACCGGUUGAAGUAGUCCCCACGGGAGUGGAAUCAUUGAUUUGACGAAUUUAUGAUCAGGGAAAAGAACACAAGAAGUCACCAUGAUCUUUGUGUGUACACGAAGGGUUCAACGAUCAAAGUCAGAAUGUUUCUUCUACUUUAUGUUGAUGGCAUGUUGAUGCAUCCAAGAGUAAGGAAGAGAUUAACAAGCUGAAUGAGCUAUUGAGUCAGAGUUCGAAAUGAAAGAUUUGUGUCCAGCUAGUCGCAUACUUGGUUCUAAAAGCCUUGGAUUCAAGAGAUGUUAGCGAGAUCUAUAGUUCUAACCACCUAAACGUCAAACUUAUUUGAGUCACAGCUCAACAACAAAAACGAAAAAAAUGCCUAGAUUGUCUAACUUGCUCUAAGUGCUAAGUUGUUGUCAAAAUCUUCUCAUUUGCCCCUCUCGCCUUGUCUCCUCUUAUAUAUCCCUCUUAGGUGGUUGUCCUUUCCUUUUUUGCCCUUAAUUGGAAUUUAUCUCUUCAUGGAAAUAUUCCAUUUUCUCUCGAUCUUCAUGAUUAUCCUCCAAACCGGACUGACCAAGUCUCGGUCGCUUGUUGGCAACCCGCACUGACCAAGUCUUGGCCGCUUGCUGGCGACCUGGACUAUCCAAGUCUCGGUCGCCUGCUGGCAACCCAGACAAACCAAGUUUCGGUCGCCAUAUGGCGACCCAGAUGAACCAGGUCCCGAUUGACUGUUGGCGACCCGGAGGAACAAGGUCUCGGUCGCAUGAUGGCGUCUCGAAGGGAAUCGAGCCUGGUCACCUGCUGGCGAACUCGGUCGCAUGCUGGUGACCCAGAGAUAGCGAACCGGUCGCCUCGUGGCGACCCGGUGGUGGAGAAAAGAGGGAACAACCUUUCCUCAUGGUGUGAUGGACUGGAGACAAUGAGACAAUGAAACAUUGGGACUUGAUCUUUUCUCGUUUUGUUGUUCUUUCUGAAGUCAUUUGUUAAGAGAUCAGACAAUUGUUUCUGAGAACUCGUUGCUCAAUUCGUUUUUGAAUUAUACGAGGUUUUGGUUCUCGCGCUUUUUCUUCUUCUUUAGAUAAAAAAGAUUUCUCGGGAGCUUUCAGACAUUGAUUCUUUCGUAACCGAUUUUGACCCCAACAGUUAUCCCCCCGGCUCGCUAGAAUUUUCGUGAUGUUCUUACGAGAUGUUAGGUAUGUUAGGAGGAAUUAAUGGCUGAAAGUCCAAGGGUAAAUCGAUUUUUUGUAGAAAGCUAUAGUAAAUUUCUUUCUCUAUAAGUAUGUGGAGUAAAUUUUCAAACUCUUCACUUGCUCACUUCCACAAGAAAUUUUCUUUAAGGUAGAAAAUCUCUCUCUCUCUUUUUUUCUUCCUUUGUUAUUUCCAUUAUGUCUUCUAGCAAGAGAGUUUCUGAGGGUGCCUUACUCCGAAGAGUUCACUUGUCCGAGAUGGCUAAAUUGUUCUGAAGGUCGAGUUUCUGCCGCACUCUGUCGACCCCGAAGAAGCUGAGGCAUAUUGGCUUGCCACAUGUAAUUUGAGAGCUCUUCUGCCCGAACCGUGGUGUCCCGCAGGCCUCACACUAAAAUAGUUUUGGUGAGCCGAUCAAGAGCACUUAUCCGUUUCUUGACACCGUCUGGCGUUUUUGUAGAGUCUCGGAAGAUGUGGAGUUUUGGAUAUUGAGGGAUGGGGAAAGCGAUGACGCUCCUCCUUGUGGCUACUUUACUUCUUACGAGGCGCAUCUUUUGCGUUGUCGGUGGUGGUUUCCUAUCCUGUAAAUCAUAGUCCAAACCUUGGAUCAGUUUCGACUUCGAUAAGCCAGAUUUCUCCUUGCGGCUUGCAGCAUCUCAGUGGGAUUCUAGUUUUAAGUUACGAGCGUGGGAUGACUCUUGACGCUGAUUAUUUCGAGGCUUUGUUGUCCCCGAUUAACAAAAGUGGGUCACUCAUAUAUCGCAUUGCCUAUAAUGCACAUGAUUGGCAAUUGCUAUUUUUCGUCCGUAUAGAAAGUGCAUCCGUUGCGAAAGAAUGCAUUCUCAUGUUCAGGAGUAGCUGAAGUCUAAAGGUUUAUAAUCCUCUUCCUCCGUUUCCUGAGGACUUGCUCAUUGUUAGGGACAUUUUUUGUCGCAGCCUGUUCUAUUGGGGCUACUUUUCUCCGAAGCAAAUCUGUGUUGCAGUCGCAUAUCACCAGCUCCCGAACUCAGCUUCAUUUGCCAGUCGAAAAAUUUUCAGACCUGAACAUAGAUGAGUUUGUUCCUUACGAAAUUCCCAUGAAGAGGAAGAGGGAAAGGUCUCCAAGAACAAAUAAGUCACCGUCAACGAAGACAAUGUUACCGCUGAUGGGAUGGAGUUACCUUCAGAGGAGUGGUUCCGUAACUUCUUCACUAGCCAGGCUAGUGGAAGUGGCACCGAUCAGAUCUCUCCGCCAACGUCCGACACUAAAUGCGAACGUAAUAUUAAGAUAAAUUAAACAAUUUUGUUUAUUUUAGAUUAUAUUUUAAAUAGAUAUGUAUAUAUUUUAAAAUUAUGAUCUUAGAUACAUUUUUAUCUAUUUAUUUUGGAUAAUAUAUAUUAAAUCAACUUGUAAAAAAUUAAUUAAAAAGUUUGUAAAAUUUGUAUAAUUAUUAAAAAGUAAAACUAAACAGUAUUUUUAAAAUUUGUAGAUAUAUAAAAGGAAACUAAUGAUAUUAUGAUUAAAAAUUAUAAUUUUUAAAAAAUUAGAGAAAAUUUUUGAAAAUAUUUUUUUAAAUAAAAUUGUGUAAUUAUUAAAAUAGAAAUAAAUAAUGGUCUUAAAUUUAGAAAAUAUUAUUAUAUUUAUAUUAUUAUAUUAUUUAAUGUUAUAUUUGGAUAGAUUCAUUUUAAUGAUGAUGUAUAAUUUACUAUUAUAUUAUUAUAAUUUACUUUUAUUCAUGUCACUUUUAACGUAUACGUUAUGUCAACUUUCUAAAUAAUCAUAGAAAAAUAUGUGUCAAAUUACUAGGGGACUAUAUUGAUUGUUAAACUACUGCAUCAAUAAGCUCGAACUUCAAAUGGCAAAACUAAAAGAAAAUAAAUCAAUAUAAAAAACAAUAAUUUAGCGUGUUACGUCAAAGGGAUGAUACCAUCUAUAAUAAUCUAUACUAUUAUUUGCAAAGUAAAUUUUAGCAACGAAUCUCUCACGUUAAAAGUUAAAACGGUUAAUAUCUAUAUUAUCUUUAAUGAAUUUAUAUAUAAUUAAUUAUAUAAUAAAAACAAAUUUUUAUUUAUAUAUAUAUUUUCAAAAAGAUAAUUUUUACAUUGUGUUGUUAGCUUAAAACAUAAUUUUCAGUUAUAAAUUUUAAAAUAAGAUAUAAAACUAUUUAUAAUAAUUAAGCGGUUCAAGUAAUUGUUACCCUUAAUGAAUUUUAUAAAUAAUCUAUACUAUUAUUUGCGAAGUAAAUUUUGGCAACGGAACUCUCACGUUAAAACUUAGAACGGUUAAUAUCUAUACUAUCAUUAAUGAAUUUAUAUAUAAUUAACUAUAUAAUCAAAAACAAUUUUUAUUUAUAAUAUUUUUUUCCAAAAAGAUAAUUUUUACAUUGUGUUGUUAUUUUAAAACAUAUUUUUCAGCUAUAAAUUUUAAAA